AGUGAACGCUGGCGGUAGGCCUAACACAUGCAAGUCGAACGGCAGCACAGUAAGAGCUUGCUCUUACGGGUGGCGAGUGGCGGACGGAUGAGGAAUACAUCGGAAUCUACUUUUUCGUGGGGGAUCACGUAGGGAAACUUACGCUAAUACCGCAUACGACCUACGGGUGAAAGCAGGGGAUCUUCGGACCUUGCGCGAUUGAAUGAGCCGAUGUCGGAUUAGCUAGUUGGCGGGGUAAAGGCCCACCAAGGCGACGAUCCGUAGCUGGUCUGAGAGGAUGAAGAGCGACACUGGAACUGAGACACGGUCCAGACUCCGACGGGAGGCAGCAGUGGGUAAUAUUGGACAAUGGGCGCAAGCCUGAUCCAGCCAUACCGCGUGGGUGAAGAAGGCCUUCGUGUUGUAAAGCCCUUUUGUUGGGAAAGAAAAGCAGCAGGUUAAUACCACGCUGUUCUGACGGUACCCAAAGAAUAAGCACCGGCUAACUUCGU
rnacentral:rRNA from 1 species